CAGUAGCCGCGGUAAAACCAGCAGCCCAAGUGGUGGUCGCGUUUAUUGGGCCUAAAGCGCUCGUAGCCUGACCGGUAAGUUCCCCGUGAAAUCGGGUCGCCCAACGAUUCGGCUUGCGGGGAAUACUGUCGGUCUUGGGGCCGGGAGACGCCGAGGGUACUCCGGAGGUAGCGGUGAAAUGCUGUAAUCCUCGGGGGACUACCAGUGGCGAAGGCGCUCGGCGAUAACGGGCCUGACGGUGAGGGGCGAAAGCUGGGGGCGCGAACGGGAUUAGAUACCCCAGUAGUCCCUGUCUCUUAUA
rnacentral:rRNA from 1 species